rnacentral:rRNA from 1 species
UGGGGAAUAUUGCACAAUGGGCGCAAGCCUGAUGCAGCCAUGCCGCGUGUGUGAAGAAGGCCUUCGGGUUGUAAAGCACUUUCAGCGGGGAGGAAGGCGUUAAGGUUAAUAACCUUGGCGAUUGACGUUACCCGCAGAAGAAGCACCGGCUAACUCCGUGCCAGCAGCCGCGGUAAUACGGAGGGUGCAAGCGUUAAUCGGAAUUACUGGGCGUAAAGCGCACGCAGGCGGUCUGUCAAGUCGGAUGUGAAAUCCCCGGGCUCAACCUAGGAACUGCAUUCGAAACUGGCAGGCUAGAGUCUUGUAGAGGUGGGUAGAAUUCCAGGUGUAGCGGUGAAAUGCGUAGAGAUCUGGAGGAAUACCGGUGGCGAAGGCGGCCCCCUGGACAAAGACUGACGCUCAGGUGCGAAAGCGUGGGGAGCAAACAGG